UUAAGAAAAAACUGUUGAAAAUUGGUGAAUUUUGAUGUUCUUUUUGUUUUAACAUAUGUUUUCUAGAUAAUAUAAUGUGCUAUCUUGAAAACUUUUAUUUCAAUUAUUGCUCAUCAUUAUAUGUAUCUGUCAGGAAAAUUUCAAAACCAAACCUAAUCUACUUUAAUAGAUAUUUGACAUUACCUACCCCUACCCCAUUGUAAAUCUUACAUCAAUACCAGCCAAAAAUAAGGGUGACAAAUUUUUUUUCGCAAACAGUAGAAUCUGUUUGCUUAAAUGGUACAUUAUUAGCCAUAUUUUAAUUAUGUAUGAUUAAUUUUUGGCAAAACUUUUGUUAGAAAGCACUAUUCGGAGAAACAUUUUUCAAAAUGGCGGAUAUCCUGAAAAAAAACACGCUCGUACAUCCUUAAGUACUGAAUGCAAUAUCAUGAAUAUCCGAAAGAGACAAUAUUCAGUCAAAAGAAUGGUUUAGGAACAUUUUUUCCGUUUUUCCUACCAUUUUCAUCAGUGCGAGAAAACUCCGUACUACACAUCAUUUUCAAAUACCUCCCACACAAUGCGUCGAAAAUUUCGCUUUUUUUAUUUGACCGACCCAUAUGAUUAGAAGAUAUAAUGUGCAAACGAGAUUUCUACCAGACAGAUUAGCUGAUUAUUGAGAAAAAUUUGGAAACUAAAAUUUAGAAAUUCUAUCCGCAGUAAUAAUGUCUUUUUGGUCUCAUUUGUCAGGCCGUCAUUAACAAACGAAGGCAUUGAUAAAUAUGCUCAUGCAUGGAAACAGAAAGUUGGACUAUCUUUGGUGGAACAUUUACAUUUGAUACAAAGUGAAGACAAACCGAUUUUCCUUGUUGACAACUCCUCCGAAACGGUUGGUUUGAAUCGGAAAAUCGACGUCAUGUUUUGCCGUACUGUUUUGGUCAGUAUUUGCCCACGACUUCGCCACUGUGAACAUCGUUUAUCACUAUAAUUCUGAAUUAGUAAUCUAAAGGCUCUUCUGUGACAAGGUAUAUCAUUACCUGUUUUUCCGGAGAUGUAAUUUGUAAACCCUCUUGUGUAUAGCCAUUUCCGACUGUCAUUUGUCAAAACUCCAAUAGGCUAUGCCUGUAUUUUUCUGAGACACACCACAUAUUUAAUGUUCAUAGUUUACAACGAUUUCCUCUGUGGUGUAUAAUUUAGGUCGCAAGUCUGCUUCGCUUGUGCGCGCACAUUCCGAAAUACACGUGCACGUAUAGAAAUAUGCGUUCAGUCUUAGAUAUAUACGUCCAUAUGUAUAUGCUUAUACGUGCACGCCGCGUUAAUAUGAAGCUAACGCUUAUAUGCUCUGCUGACUACACUAAUCAAGAACCAGAAAAAUAUCGACUUAGUAGAUUAUCUCUGCUGUCUUUCGCCAAAUUGAACUACAGGAACCGAGUUACAACGCGCUUAAAAUUUUAUGCUGUUUCUCUGUACACUUUAUUUCUUGUUACGUGACUUUGCCAAGCAGAAUUUCAUCCAGAAGACCUGGUAAAAUGUAUGUUAAAAUAGAUUGUAAUCAGUUGCACUUGAAUUUUAAAGGGUCAUAUUAAUUUUGCUUGUAGUAUAGCUACCACAGUUUUAGGUAUGAACAAAAGAUAUAAUAAUUUCUUGUUAAAUCCUAUUUCCAAUAUGUUUUGUGAACAUAAGUCAAAUGUUGUAAUAUCUGAUUCACAUAGUAGAAAGUAUUGUUCAAUCUAUUGCUUUUGAUUACCUCCCUUUAUGACCCUAACCGUACACGUUCGUGUGCAUUUGAUUUUGUUUUCUAACCAUAUAAUUAUGCAAAAUCAUGCUCACACUUCAUUUGAAGACCUUUUCUAAACAUAAAAUUAAAAGCCUUAUUGGACAUUAUAAUGUAAACACUACGAAAACUGGUUAUAUAAAACUGCUAUCAGAAUAUUUAAAACUUGGUUUAUCAAAUUUAACUUUUUGUGCUAAAGGGAUUUAAUUACUUUCAAAUUGUAAUUAUGGUAAAAGUUUGUGUAUAAGAUUCAGUGUCAUCCGCUUAUCCAUAACAAAAUGAUAUUCAGUGCGAAUUAUAGUCAAUGAAAAUAUAGGUAUUCUGUAUGAUAUUCAGGAAUGUGCAGGAAAAGAUACCACCUUUUAUUUAUACAACUUGUCUAACCCUUCCUGUCAAAAACCGAAUUUAAGGAUAAUUUAACAUCUGACGAAAGAGUUCCGUGAUGAAAUUACAAAAAUCGGACUCGAAAGGCAAACGACUGAAACUUAUAAUACACAUGAUUAUCUAGCAGUAAAAAAACAUAAAACGGCAAAUGAAAUUAUGCACCUUUUGAGUGGUACACCUAGCUUUCACAUCUUAUUCUUGUGAAUUUUCCAAAACAAAAGUAAGCCAUGCAUAGAACAUAAACUUGAUCAGUGCGUCUUUAUUUUAUAGAAAAAAAAAGCGGACGGGAUUAUGUGCCAGACGUAAGCAUUGAGAGACAAUACAAUAAGGAAACAGUUACGGCUUUAUCAUGGUUAUCAGAGUUAACAGAGGACUGGUGUUCGUUUUCUGUCUUCUGAAGGACUUCAUGGAAUUCGGUAUCGUAUUUGCGUUUGGAGCUUUCUUUGAUGAGCUUCUGGGCACAUUCCAGAAAGAUCGCAGAACAACUGCAACUUUGCAAUCACUUCUUGUUGGAGUAACUUUAAGUUUUGGUGUUGUCAGCGGAGCUCUCAUCACUAAACUAGGGCUCCCAUUGGUUACGCUUCUAUCUUGUAUACUCGUUCCACUUGGUUUUGGUGUCUCUUUCUUUGCUACCAGAAUAGGGCAUCUAUACGUAAGCAUCGGCAUUGUAUCAGGUAUGAUGUGACUAAAGCUUCUCCUUGACGAAGCACUGGUGUAUGGCUAAAGCCGGGUAGGCUUUUUGAAAGCAGACCGCAUCUGUUCAUACGCAUUUGUAUGGUAUCAUGUAUGUGCAGGAAGCAGUGACGUAAGACAAAAUUUUCGGUGCUCUAACAUCAGGGGCUUAUGUGUCAUGUGAUCCGUGUCGCUUCAAUUCUUCAUUCAGUAAUACCGGGGUUGGAAUUUCAAUGGGACAUGUCAGUGCUGUUGUGAUGGUUGGUAGAAUUUUUACAGGCAAAAAGAGAGUUCUGCUUUUAGCUGUGCUGAGUGCUUCUUCCCCGUUAUCUGGAUUGGUCUACCCGUAUUUUCUAAACUGGUUGAUGACAUUGUUUGAUCUGAGUGAGACGUUUCUAAUCCUUGGAGCUAUUUAUAGUAACACAUUCCCAUUGUUCAUAUUAUGUUGGAUGAAUCGGAGCACACUUCAAGAUGUUGAAUUGUCUUCGAGGAAUUCUAAAAUUAAGACAAACUUAAAGGCUGAGGCACCAUUCCCCACAAUAAAACAUAAAGGACAUUUUAUCAUAAACAGUUUUCAAACAUUGAGAGAAAUGGUGAACACAACCUACCUUUUGUUACUUUUUGCCACCGCUAUUUCAAUUACUGGCAUAAAUGGAUAUUCGAGGAUGAUUCUUGAUAUUUGUAGAUGGAAAGGUUUCAGUAAAUCUCGGGGACUAUUAACAUUUGUCUUUUUCAACAUCGCUAACACUGUCGCAAGACUUGUACCGGGUGUGCUUAGCGUGGAUUCAAUUCUUUUAUUUACCCUAUAAUUUCCACUCUAUCUGGUUGUGUCGGGCAGUUAUUACUCUAUAAAGGCCAGAGCUAUGUUUUAUAUGUGUUAGGAACUUGUCUGUCUGGCUUUGCAAUCGGCGGAGUUGUUUCUGCACAAUUGAUUCUUGUGUUGGAAACAGUACGUUCAGAAUUUAUCCCAGUAGGAUCAGGACUACUUUUUACAAUGACAGGUGUAAUAUCUGCUACAACAGGCCCGAUAUUUGGCAGCCUGAGAGACAAUUCCGGUACUUACGAAAGCAUUGUCCUUAUAGUCAGUGUAAUAGAGGCGAUUGCAGCGAUUUUCUUUGCCCUUGCUCUUGUCUACAGAAGAAUUAAUAAUGCUAAAAAGCAAGCAAAGAAAUCAACAGAAGAUUCUAUAGGAUUCAUAGGCACUCAUUAAUAGUAACACAUGUUCAUAGUUUAGUGAUGUUUUGGGAGAAUCGGGACAAUCCUAAUUUUGUUGAUUUGUCUUCGGAGCACCUUUUUUAAGAUAAGACAAACAAAGAAAAUAAGGCACCCAGUACUGCAAUAAGAAGCGAACAAAACGCUUGGAGUCAGCUCGGUUAUGUUACCUUGUCAUUCAGAAGCAUAGAGGUCAUUCAAUCUUCAAGUGACAAGUAACAUUACAUCUCAUGUACAGACUCGAGGUAGCUAUGCUUAUAUGCCAGCAGUUUAGGUAGAGACAAACCAUUUAUAUAAAUCGCUGAAGCAUAUGUAAAAUAGAAGUCUAGAUAUAGAUCAGUGACUUUUUCAUACCUCCUCUUGUCAGGGACAGAUACAUAGACAUUUUCAAACUGACUAUAUAUAAUGUUUCGUUCAUUUCUAAAUAUGUAUUCAAUAUAUUU